rnacentral:rRNA from 1 species
GCCUUGCUGAAUUAUUCACCCUUGUCUUUUGCGUACUUCUUGUUUCCUUGGUGGGUUCGCCCACCACUAGGACAAACAUAAACCUUUUGUAAUUGCAAUCAGCGUCAGUAACAAAUUAAUAAUUACAACUUUCAACAACGGAUCUCUUGGUUCUGGCAUCGAUGAAGAACGCAGCGAAAUGCGAUAAGUAGUGUGAAUUGCAGAAUUCAGUGAAUCAUCGAAUCUUUGAACGCACAUUGCGCCCUUUGGUAUUCCAAAGGGCAUGCCUGUUCGAGCGUCAUUUGUACCCUCAAGCUUUGCUUGGUGUUGGGCGUCUUGUCUCUAGCUUUGCUGGAGACUCGCCUUAAAGUAAUUGGCAGCCGGCCUACUGGUUUCGGAGCGCAGCACAAGUCGCACUCUCUAUCAGCAAAGGUCUAGCAUCCAUUAAGCCUUUUUUUCAACUUUUGACCUCGGAUCAGGUAGGGAUACCCGCUGAACUUAAGCAUAUCAAA